GAUUGAACGCUGGCGGCAGGCCUAACACAUGCAAGUCGAACGGUAACAGGAAGCAGCUUGCUGCUUCGCUGACGAGUGGCGGACGGGUGAGUAAUGUCUGGGAAACUGCCUGAUGGAGGGGGAUAACUACUGGAAACGGUAGCUAAUACCGCAUAACGUCGCAAGACCAAAGAGGGGGACCUUCGGGCCUCUUGCCAUCGGAUGUGCCCAGAUGGGAUUAGCUAGUAGGUGGGGUAACGGCUCACCUAGGCGACGAUCCCUAGCUGGUCUGAGAGGAUGACCAGCCACACUGGAACUGAGACACGGUCCAGACUCCUACGGGAGGCAGCAGUGGGGAAUAUUGCACAAUGGGCGCAAGCCUGAUGCAGCCAUGCCGCGUGUAUGAAGAAGGCCUUCGGGUUGUAAAGUACUUUCAGCGGGGAGGAAGGUGUUGAGGUUAAUAACCUCAGCAAUUGACGUUACCCGCAGAAGAAGCACCCGGCUAAACUCCGGUGCCAGCAGCCCGCGGGUAAUACGGAGGGUGCAAGCGUUAAUCGGAAAUUACUGGGGCGUAAAGCGCACGCAGCGUCGUCAAGUCGGAUGUGAAAUCCCCGGGCUCAACUGGGAACUGCAUUCGAAACUGGCAGGCUAGAGUCUUGUAGAGGGGGGUAGAAUUUCCAGGUGUAGCGGUGAAAUGCGUAGAGAUCUGGAGGAAUACCGGUGGCGAAGGCGGCCCCCUGGACAAAGACUGACGCUCAGGUGCGAAAGCGUGGGGAGCAAACAGGAUUAGAUACCCUGGUAGUCCACGCCGUAAACGAUGUCGACUUGGAGGUUGUGCCCUUGAGGCGUGGCUUCCGGAGCUAACGCGUUAAGUCGACCGCCUGGGGAGUACGGCCGCAAGGUUAAAACUCAAAUGAAUUGACGGGGGCCCGCACAAGCGGUGGAGCAUGUGGUUUAAUUCGAUGCAACGCGAAGAACCUUACCUACUCUUGACAUCCAGAGAACUUUCCAGAGAUGGAUUGGUGCCUUCGGGAACUCUGAGACAGGUGCUGCAUGGCUGUCGUCAGCUCGUGUUGUGAAAUGUUGGGUUAAGUCCCGCAACGAGCGCAACCCUUAUCCUUUGUUGCCAGCGGUUCGGCCGGGAACUCAAAGGAGACUGCCAGUGAUAAACUGGAGGAAGGUGGGGAUGACGUCAAGUCAUCAUGGCCCUUACGAGUAGGGCUACACACGUGCUACAAUGGCGCAUACAAAGAGAAGCGACCUCGCGAGAGCAAGCGGACCUCAUAAAGUGCGUCGUAGUCCGGAUUGGAGUCUGCAACUCGACUCCAUGAAGUCGGAAUCGCUAGUAAUCGUGGAUCAGAAUGCCACGGUGAAUACGUUCCCGGGCCUUGUACUCACCGCC
rnacentral:rRNA from 1 species